rnacentral:rRNA from 1 species
UGGGGAAUUUUGGACAAUGGGGGCAACCCUGAUCCAGCCAUGCCGCGUGCGGGAAGAAGGCCUUCGGGUUGUAAACCGCUUUUAGUCGGGAAGAAAAGGCGCGGGUGAAUAGUCCGCGUUUUUGACGGUACCGGCGGAAUAAGCACCGGCUAACUACGUGCCAGCAGCCGCGGUAAUACGUAGGGUGCGAGCGUUAAUCGGAAUUACUGGGCGUAAAGCGUGCGUAGGCGGUUCGCUGUGUCCGAUGUGAAAGCCCCGGGCUUAACCUGGGAAUGGCAUUGGAAACUGGCGGGCUUGAGUGUGGCAGAGGGGGGUGGAAUUCCGCGUGUAGCAGUGAAAUGCGUAGAGAUGCGGAGGAACACCGAUGGCGAAGGCAGCCCCCUGGGCUAACACUGACGCUCAGGCACGAAAGCGUGGGGAGCAAACAGGAUUAGAUACCCCCGUAGUCC